rnacentral:pre_miRNA from 1 species
AAAAAGACAAAUCCUGGUUUCCGUGUCCAACGUUUGACCGUCCGUCUUAUUUAAAAAAAUUAUGAAAAAAAUAAAAAGACAAGUCACGCAUAAAAUAUUAAUCAUGUUUUAUCAUCUAACAAUAAUGAAAAUACGAAUUAUAAAAAAUUUUCAUAUAAGACGGACAGUCAAAGUUGGACAUAAAAAUUUAGGAUUUGCUUUUU